GACGAACGCUGGCGGCGUGCUUAACACAUGCAAGUCGAACGGUGAAGCUCCAGCUUGCUGGAGUGGAUCAGUGGCGAACGGUUGAGUAACACGUGAGCAACCUGCCCCUGACUCUGGAAUAAGCGCUGGAAACGGCGUCUAAUACUGGAUACGAGAAGGGUCCGCAUGGGCACCUUCUGGAAAGUUUUUCGGUUGGGGAUGGGCUCGCGGCCUAUCAGCUUGUUGGUGAGGUAAUGGCUCACCAAGGCGACGACGGGUAGCCGGCCUGAGAGGGCGACCGGCCACACUGGGACUGAGACACGGCCCAGACUCCUACGGGAGGCAGCAGUGGGGAAUAUUGCACAAUGGGCGAAAGCCUGAUGCAGCGACGCCGCGUGAGGGAUGACGGCCUUCGGGUUGUAAACCUCUUUCAGCAGGGAAGAAGCGAAAGUGACGGUACCUGCAGAAGAAGCACCGGCUAACUACGUG
rnacentral:rRNA from 1 species